GCCUCGAAGCGCGGGAUAACGCCCCGAAAGGGGUGCUAAUACCGCCUAAGCUCACGGUCUGUAGAGGACUGGGAGAAAAGGCGCAAGCCACUUCGAGAGGAGGCUGCGUCCCAUCAGGUAGUUGGUGCGGUAACGGCGCACCAAGCCGACGACGGGUCGGGGGUCUGAGAGGAUGAUCCCCCACACUGGGACUGAGACACGGCCCAGACUCCUACGGGAGGCAGCAGUGAGGAAUAUUGGUCAAUGGGGGCAACCCUGAACCAGCGACGCCGCGUGGGUGAUGAAGGUCUUCGGAUCGUAAAACCCUUUUCCAGGUGGCGAGAAACAGGACGGUAGCCUGGGAAGAAGCCUCGGCUAACUACGUGCCAGCAGCCGCGGUAAAACGUAGGAGGCGAGCGUUAUCCGGAGUUACUGGGCGUAAAGCGCGUGCAGGCGGUGGCUCAAGUGAGGGGUGAAAGCGCCCGGCUAAACUGGGCGAGGUCCUCUCAGACUGGGUGACUGGAGGGCGAUAGAG
rnacentral:rRNA from 1 species